rnacentral:rRNA from 1 species
GACGAACGCUGGCGGCGUGCUUAACACAUGCAAGUCGAACGGAAAGGCCUGCUUUCCCUUGUGGAUUGCGGGUGCUCGGGUGACGAACGUGUGAGUACCACGUGAGUGAUCUGCCCCCAACUUGGGUAUACGCCUGUGAAACUGGGUCUAAUUUCCGGUAGGACUGCAGGGUGGGUCCUGUUGUGGAAAACGAUUUUCUAGUGGUUGGGGAUGAGCACGCGGCCUAUCAGCUUGUUGGUGGGGUCAUGGCCUACCAAGGCGGCGACGGGUAGCCGGCCUGCGAGGAUGGACGGCGACAUUGGGACUGAGAGACGGCCCAGACUCCUACGGGAGGCAGCAGUGGGGAAUAUUGCACAAUGGGCGGAAGCCUGAUGCAGCGACGACGCGUGGGGGAUGACGGACUUCGGGUUGUAAACUCCUUUCGACCGCGCGGAAGCCACCUGGUUGGAAGGGUGGUGACGGUAGUGGUAGAAGAAGCACCGGCUAACUACGUG